rnacentral:rRNA from 1 species
UACGGAGGGUGCAAGCGUUAAUCGGAAUUACUGGGCGUAAAGCGUGCGUAGGCGGUUCGUUAAGUCUGUUGUGAAAGCCCCGGGCUCAACCUGGGAAUGGCAAUGGAUACUGGCGAGCUAGAGUGUGUCAGAGGAUGGUGGAAUUCCCGGUGUAGCGGUGAAAUGCGCAGAUAUCGGGAAGAACACCAGUGGCGAAAGCGCUCUACUGGGCCAUAACUGACACUGAGGGACGAAAGCUAGGGGAGCGAAAGGG